CGUGCUUGAAAUCGGCAGUGUGAGGUAUGCGCUUAAGAAAUAAAGGGAUGAAACAGGUUUGGGCACUGGCUCAGGCAUAAAUCUAAGCCCUCAUUAAAGGGACUGGGAGGAAUAUGAGUGUGUAGACCCGGUCUUAAGAGACAUCUGGUUCCGGAGCCCGGGCUCGAAGCUUGACAGCUGUACAGCUAAAAGAAAACUAAUUCCUCAUGGACGUGACUUCCUUCCAUGUUCUUCAUCUGUCAGUAGCAUGUGUGGGUGUUAUUACUAUGCCCGACUUAGAGUCUCAUGGCCACCCCGUCUGGAUGCGGGCGGGCUGCAGCAAACCCAGUCAGCUUUUCAGUUGUCUUAUUCUGUGGUUAACAUGGUUGGGUACACUUGGCUCCAACACUUGCUUGAGCGCCAUCGGACUAGAACCACCGACUUUGGGUAUCUCUAGGGUGCCCUUGGUAUUGAAUGCCUUGCGCAUGGCGCCCCCUGCUGGAAAAUCAAAGGAUAUCAUUAUAGACCUCUAUCACCAUUGUCCUACGUUAUGGCUGAUGCUGUUACAAGAUGUGACUUCCUCAAGAUUACGGCAUUCAUAGUAGCCAAAGGCCUACAUAUCAACGAGAACAUAAUUUCUGAGAGACCUUCCUUCAGCAAUACUUCAGUUGAGUCAUGAGUCAAGCAAAAGUAGUGAGAGAUAAUUAACAGACUCCCAUGACAUCAGGAGGCGUCUCUUCUAAGUUUUGUGAGAUGAAAUUGUUACUUUCGGAGGCUGUGGAACCUUUAGGUCAUGGCGGCCUGGCUGACAGAGGGACUAUCAGCUUCAGUGUUUCCAGUUUGUCACCAGUGUACAGACGCUGACAAAAGUGGAAUGAUAUGAAAUGUCCUUUGGGUUUCCGAGCCCUAUGACCAUAGAGUCUUAGAUGGACACCCACUGUGGCCAAGACGCUCGCUCGUCAAAGAACACUUUCGACUGAAACACGAAAGCAUACAAAUUUUGUGCGGUGGGGAAGCACCCGGUGAGCCCUCGCUCUGGUGAUCGGCUCCUCCCCUUUGCCAGCUUCCUCUUGCUUUUCUACUGGUGUUUUGGUGGCCACUUCCGUUACUUCAGCCAAUCACAACACACCAACAGUCACUUUCUCCAUCUCGAGUCUACCUUAAAAUUGACUUCAGUGUGAGAAACGAAGUGGAAAUGCAGGAUCCAUGGGUAAAGCCUUGAAGAGUGCCUGGUAAGUAAAGGGUUUGCUCGCCUUAAACAACAAGGCAACCUCUGCUUCCAAGCUGCAUCGACCUGCCUAGAUUCCUGCAGUGCCCUCUGUUGGCCUUGGGGGAAGCUGCAGCUCAUGGAGACCAAAGGUUCCAGAGCUGUGUGACCAAGUCUCUGUCAUUUGAAGCCACAUAAUCCAUGGUAGCUUGUUACUUUGGCCAUAAGAAGCCACCAGCAUCACUUCCCUUUAGAUUUCUCUAACAACCAGAGUAAUAGUGUUGAGGGGAAUAUAGAUGAAAGAAGAAACAAGAUCAGCAUCUUUAGGGAGUUGUACACAUGGGUUUGAAGUUCCCUGGAGAAUAAAUAGGCCAAUGAAGAGACAGAAACUGAGGCCAUCAUCCGCAUCCACCAAGCUGAUGUAUGACAGAGUGGCAUUGUUAGAUCAGUGAGCAGGAGGUGGGGUAGCUUAGGUGACAGAGGAGUGGGAAGCUGACUACUCACAGACAGCGUCAAAAUGGGAUCCCUGCCUCAUAUAACGUGGUGAUGGUGAUGAACACUGCAAUAGCAUUAACAAUCACAUCAGUGAAGUUGGUAGGGGUUCUAAGUACCUCUGGGUAUUCUAAGUAGGACUCACUCCUUGUCUGUGUAGGUAUUAGUGUUAUUUUGCCUAUUUUAGAGAUGAAUCAGGUGUGUUCAUACAGAUUAAAGGACAGACUAAGAAGCUGAGAUGCUAAGCCUGGCUCCAGAUCCCAUGUUUUCAAGUCACUAUUUCGCACCCUUUGUACUGCACGUGAAACUCAAGCUAACUUGACUCUGAGACAAUAUUUUAAAAAGGGAAAUGCAAAACAUUUAGAACAUUAAAAAAUAUGUAAUACUUCAGAAUUAAAUAAAACAGGAAAACAGAAAUGAUUAUAAAUAUGGUAUAUACUAUAGUAGUAAGUAAUAUUUUGCUAAUUAGUUUGGCAUAAAAGCAUAUCAUAAGAACAAACACAGACAAAGUGAAUAAUCAAUAAAGGAGCACUAUCUAUUCUCCAUAGUAGCUCUACAUAAGAGUGAGGAGGUUGAACAAAGAAAGUGCAGUGAGAAAGAAAGACAGCGGAAUAUCACAGAUGGCUGUUGGUAACUCCAAAGGAUGCUCAAUGCCACUGGAAGUUAGGAAAUGAAACCAGGAGAGGUAUUCUCUCUCUUAUCAUAUUGGCAGAAACUGUGAAAUCUGACAGCAUUAGCUGCUGACCAGGAUAUAAGGCUCUGGCUGCCACUGUGCGGAACACAGGUCUGCCGGCAUAGGCACCUGGAGUUCCAUUUGCAACACUUAGUGCUACUGAAGAUUCAUCGAGUGAGCCGUGACUCAGAAAACCGACUCCUCUAAACACCACCUGGGAAAUAUUUCCCAUAAACACAAGACCCAAAUGGCUUAUGUUGCACAGACUUAGGAAGAACCUCCGUGCCCAUCAGGAGUGAAAUGGAGUAACGUAAGGUAGCGUUUCACACGGUGGCAUACCACGCAGCCGACAGGGAGCUUGAGUCAAGUAUGUUCAUGAGGGAACCACAUAAAUAUAAUACUGUUUGAGAAAGCAGCUUGCAGAAGAAUACACAGUAAUCAGGAAUACACUAAAUAGACUGUGUAAGGAUAGAAAUGAUAGAAUUGUACAUAGGGGCUAAAAAAAAGAACUAUACAAUGUACCCAUAAAGUUGUUUGGGGUACUUGUAUUGUUGGGAUACUUUUGUUGUUGAAGUAUAAGGAAACACUUAGGAGACUGGCUUUGGAAUUGAGGCUGAUGCUGAUUUUGGGACAAUGGGGCUUGGAAUAUGACUGGCUAGUAGUACUUUUUAAACCAGAUGACAGGGAAUGAAAAACCAGCCUGCCUCCAUUUUAGGCUUAAAAGCCAUCUUACAGCAAAGACAGAUUAGGUUCAUUCCUGUGUAUGACUAAGCCUCUGUUUUUUAACCAUGUCCCGUUUGUAACCUCAACUACCAAUGGUUCUGUACUGCACAUCUCAGGAAAUGGCAACCGCAUCUUUGUUUCAAAGGAUCUUAAAACCAUCUUGCAACACUACCGUUGUUUCAGAAGAUUUUAUGGCCACUUAUGACUGCCUUGCUAUGACUAUCGCUAUGCUUAUGAUUCUGUUCCUGAGACCUGCCUAAUUUGCCCACUAAAUCCCCCAUUAGAAACCCCCUACCCUUGAGCUAUCAGCCUUGUCUUCACAUCCAGUGCCGACUCUCGAAUCCCUCCUUGAGGAGGAGGCAGCCCGUGUGCAUGAAUAAAAAAGCUUGCUUUAAUUAAUUUGGCCGUGAUGAUUUGGUCUGGUGGUGGUCUUCCCCCCCAUCCCACCCCCCCCUCCAACUUUGGGAUUGACAGGGCAGAAAAACAUGUGGACGGUACCACUUCCUUCCUCUUUUGUGUCUCAAAUACUGCAAAGUAUUUAUUUUUUCUUUUAGAAAGAAAAGGGGCUGUCUGCAAGCCACCGAGUGUUGUGGAGGGAGACUCACAGUUGGAAUUAGAAUAUCGGACUCCAGGGUAGCAGAGCUGAGAAGUGGUUAUGGUCUUUGCACCCUGUCUUCCCUCCUCUCCCUUUAUUGAUCUAGAGUGAAAGUGGGAAAUAAAAUGCCCCUCGGACCUUCGCUGCUUUCUGCCGAGAUCAAGGGUCUUCACACCCAUAGGGUCCAGUCCUCCUCUCAACUGGAUUGGCUGUAAUGUAACCAGUCAACUUCUUUUUUCUGAGUGAUAGUCACUUCUGGUAGUCACUGUAGAGAGACUGGACACUCUAGUUUCUUGUGUUUGUUAAACCAUCUGUCUGUCUGUUUGUUUGUUUGUUUGUUUAUUUAUUUAUUUAUUUAUGGCAGGGUCUCAUGUAGUUCAGGCUGGCCUUAAACUCUCUGUGUAGCCGAAAGUCACCUUGACUUUCUGACACAGGUCUCUACCUCCUGACAUUAUAGGUGUCCCCCCCCCCCCCCCACAGCUGUGUUAGGUCUCAACCUGGACAAAAGGCUAACUGAGGUGUCUAUGUAACAUAUCAGAGCAGACCUGGCUGCACGAUUCUCCUAGCACCCCUCAGUUCCUGCCGAUUACAGGGUGUGUCUGGCAUACCUCACAUUCUACCCUGAACUCUCUAGCCCAGGAGCUGGGGUACCCUUCUCCGUGGGGUUCUUCCCUCUGUAAUUCAGGUCCUUAUUUUUAGUCUUUAUCUUCCUGGCCUCUUGGUCUUCUUGCUCUCCUGUCUCCCCUUCUCCUUCUCUUCAAAUGACUGACCUCGUGGUCAUGUUUACUCUGGACGUUCCCUGAUGUUUCUACCUCUGGCUAUGUUCUCCCUCAUGUCUAUAAUAAACUCCUCCACCAAACCUAGGAACAGUCAUGUUCUCCUUUCUUUCUUUUUUUUUUUUUGAGACAGGGUUUCUCUGUGU